rnacentral:ribozyme from 14 species
UCAAAGCAAAAACUUAUGAACAACGAGCAAAAUAUAGAAUAAAGAGUGACGGGAUCAGCUGUCACCUGCUUGUUCAGGUUGUUCCACUUUUUUCUCUUCAGCCACUUCUGUUUUGCUUUCUCCAUCUUCCGUAUUAUU